AACCUUUCCCUGGUUUUCUCUUUGGACGUGAUGCUUGUUUAAACUGACUUGACCUUUCUUAUUCUGCAUCUUCCAUGGUCUCGUGCAGGGACAGGGCUCUUUUGGGUGGGCAAUGUUGGAACAAGCAUGGGCUCUCAGGAGCAAAAUUUUGACCUCUGGUAAGUGGAAUUUGCAUACAUAGUCAUGCUUGCACAAUCAACAGAUGCCAUAUGGAAGCCUCUCACAAAUCCAUGACAUCAGUAGCUCCAAAUAGAGAUUGCAUCAACACUGCGAGCUUGGAAGAAUAACUCUAGCGGAAGGUAAAUCUGUGACAAAUUGUAGAUGAUAAGAAAAGGUAAGAGUAUGUUAGAAUCAUGUCCCUAUAUGUUCAAGAGAAGAAACUUUGGGGAUGCCCACAGAGAAUCUUGCAUGUCAAUGUGGCCUUGCAGUAUACACAAAUUCUAGCAACAAAAAGGUAUGAUUAAAAGUGAGAAAAUUAUAUGACAAGGCAAAAGCAAGAUAUCUCAGGGUAUCUUUAUAUACCUUGUGCAAACACUGAUGUGUAAUUAUCUACAACCCAAGCACAAUGACAACAGCUUCUUAUGGGUGCAA